AGAGUGAACGCUGGCGGCAGGCCUAACACAUGCAAGUCGAACGGCAGCACAGAGGAGCUUGCUCCUUGGGUGGCGAGUGGCGGACGGGUGAGGAAUACAUCGGAAUCUGCCUUAUCGUGGGGGAUAACGUAGGGAAGCUUACGCUAAUACCGCAUACGACCUACGGGUGAAAGCGGAGGACCUUCGGGCUUCGCGCGAUAAGAUGAGCCGAUGUCGGAUUAGCUAGUUGGUGGGUAAAGGCCCACCAAGGCUACGAUCCGUAGCUGGUCUGAGAGGAUGAUCAGCCACACUGGAACUGAGACACGGUCCAGACUCCUACGGGAGGCAGCAGUGGGGAAUAUUGGACAAUGGGCGCAAGCCUGAUCCAGCCAUGCCGCGUGUGUGAAGAAGGCCUUCGGUUGUAAAGCACUUUGUCGGAAGAAAAGCACUGGAUUAAUACCCUGGUGUUAUGACGGUACCGGAAGAAGUAAGCACCGGCUAACUCGU
rnacentral:rRNA from 1 species